AGUUGCCAGCUCACUAUCGAUGCUGCUGGACCACGAUUGACGACUGGUGUGUGGAGGUGGAAUCCAGUCUCUUUGCGGCUUCGCUGAACGGUCUUCUCGAGAAGACGAACUACUUGUCGCUUGGCGGUGCAAGGAAGAGAAUGUUUUGGACAAAUGACAAUAAAGAGAUUCAAAAACUAGCAGCGGACGGAUGACGCAUUGUAAAGUUGAGAAAAAUCUAUCAUGGACGGAAUGGGUGUCACGUG